rnacentral:rRNA from 1 species
AUUCCAGCUCCAAUAGCGUAUAUUAAAGUUGUUGCAGUUAAAAAGCUCGUAGUUGGAUUUCAGAGUGAGCUCGUCCGGUCGGCCUAAAUGGUCUGAACUGGUUGACUCUCUCUUGCUUGUGGAUCCCGCCCGGAGUUAACUCUUCGGAUGUGGACUUCACAUCGUUUACCUUGAAAAAAUUAGAGUGUUCAAAGCAGGCGUAUGCUUGAAUAUAUUAGCAUGGAAUAAUGGAAUAGGACCCUGGUUCUAUUUUGUUGGUUUUGAGGACCAGAGUAAUGAUUAAUAGGGAUAGUUGGGGGCAUUCAUAUUUCAUUGUCAGAGGUGAAAUUCUUGGAUUUACGAAAGAUGAACUUCUGCGAAAGCAUUUGCCAAGGAUGUUUUCAUUU